GAAGUGAGUGAAAUCAAGUGCCUUGCUCUAUGUUAGGUGUUAGAGGAGGAAUGCAGAAGAUGGACUUCUUUGCAAAGAGCCUUCAGGUAGGCUUCAGAGUGCAGAAGCCUCUGGGUCUUUGGUGGAGGAGCGACGAACAUUGGCGUCGUGGGCUGCUGCAUGACCGGCUGGCCCGCGGGACUCUGGCCAGGAUACGGGGGUGGCGCUGGCUGGCCAGGAGGGCCGAGAAUUCCCAUCUGAAAUGGGACACGGUUACAGAGUGAGGACACUCAGCAGUCAUCUCUGCCGGCUUGGUUCAACGGGACAGACACCCUCCCACCCAGAAGAGGCAAGAGAUCAAAAAGCGUCAGAGCACGGUGAGAGAAUGAGAGAAGCUCUGAAACACAACAAAAUCAUUUACCUGUUGCCCAUAUGGGCCUCCUCCUGGAGUUGGAGUUCCUACCAUGGGGGACACUCCUUGGCCCAUAACACCUAUGUUUUAAAUGCAAUACACACAAUUAGGUCCUGGAAUUACAAUCAUCGAAAACUACCAUCUUUGAUAAGAGACUCGUUUCCCCCUGCCAGCCUAGUAUGUCUUUCUCUGCCUUUGGAUUUUUGUUGCAAGAAGAACUAUACACCCUGCCCAAGGUGCAACAUUUUAAUACUCAAAAGUUAACAGAUUUUUUUGGGGGGCGGAGGGGGGAUAAGGGUGUUUUAAAAUUUUUUACCCAGAGUACAAAUUUAAAAUAAAUAUCUGGUAACAUUAAAAAAAUUAAUUGCUUUUCCCUCUCA